UACGAAGGGGGCUAGCGUUGUUCGGAAUUACUGGGCGUAAAGCGCGCGCAGGCGGCUAUCCAAGUCAGUGGUGAAAGCCCGGAGCUCAACUCCGGAACUGCCAUUGAAACUGUUUAGCUGGAGUAUGAGAGAGGUGAGUGGAAUUCCCAGUGUAGAGGUGAAAAUUCGUAGAUAUUGGGAAGAACACCGGUGGCGAAGGCGGCUCACUGGCUCGUAACUGACGCUCAUGCACGACAGCGUGGGGGAUCAAACAGG
rnacentral:rRNA from 1 species